rnacentral:miRNA from 1 species
AUUAGGUUGGUGCAAAAGUAUUUGUGGUUUUUGCCAUUUGUUUAAUGGCAAAAACUGUAAUUACUUUU